CCUACGGGAGGCAGCAGUGGGGAAUAUUGCACAAUGGGCGAAAGUCUGAUGCAGCAACGCCGCGUGAGCGAUGAAGGCCUUCGGGGCGUAAAGCCCUGUCCUCAAGGAAGCUAAUGACGGUACGUGAGGGGGAAGCCGCGGCGAACUACGUGCAAGCAGCCGCGGUAAUACGUAGGGGGCUAGCGUUAUCCGGAUUUACUGGGCGUAAAGGGUGCGUAGGUGGUUUCUUAAGUCAGAGGUGAAAGGCUACGGCUCAACCGUAGUAAGCCUUUGAAACUGGGAAACUUGAGUGCAGGAGAGGAGAGUGGAAUUCCUAGUGUAGCGGUGAAAUGCGUAGAUAUUAGGAGGAACACCAGUUGCGAAGGCGGCUCUCUGGACUGUAACUGACACUGAGGCACGAAAGCGUGGGGAGCAAACAGGAUUAGAUACCCGGGUAGUC
rnacentral:rRNA from 1 species